CUCUUACUUUUACUGCAAGAGCUCGGAGUGCUGAGCUAAGUCUUGGGAAUCGAGAUACCAUUAAGAAAUGGAGAGAUGUUGCAAAUGAUGCCAGGAAGCAGUUGUAUGAAAAAGAGAAGGAAGUUCAAGAUCUGAAGCUAGAGUCUAUGGGACUAAAGCAUGAGCUUAAAGAUGCAAAUGAGCAAUGUAUUCUUCUUUUCAAUGAAGUACAGAAGGCCUGUAAAGUUUCCUUUACAUUGCAGGCAGAUCUGAAGUCAAAAACUCUGAUGCUGUCUGAAAAGCAUAAGAUUGAGACGGAUCAAAACACAGCUCAAAAAUCAAGUUGCUCAUCUUUUACAACUGGAGCAAGAUACAAAACUCAGAUACAAGAACGCGAUUCGACAAUUUAGGCCCUACAGGCGAAAGUUAAUAGUAUCGAAUCACAGCUAAAGGAAGCCAUCAUCUUGAGUUUGGUACUGAGCUGACACUUUUUUAGUCAAGUAUUUGCAAGUGUAAGUGAAACUGGAUAUGCUUUAGUGAAAUAUGGCCAUCCUGUCUAUAUACCAAAAUCAUGUGCUGAUAAAUUAGUUUGUUUUACUUUCUGAGGUAGAUGCUUUUCUGAUUUUUUUUCCCUUGAUCUAAUAUUUGACAAAGGAGUAGAAAACCUAGAUGUUAAAUCAAAGAAUAAGGUGGUAUUUUAUCACUUUCUUAAAGGGAUUGAUGUUCAAUGUGUUUGGGUUGUGAAGGCAAUAAAACCUGGA